CCUACGGGAGGCAGCAGUGGGGAAUUUUCCGCAAUGGGCGCAAGCCUGACGGAGCAAGACCGCGUGAGGGAAGAAGGUCUGUGGAUUGUAAACCUCUUUUGAUAGGGAAGAAGACAGUGACGGUACCUAUCGAAUCAGCCUCGGCUAACUCCGUGCCAGCAGCCGCGGUAAUACGGAGGAGGCAAGCGUUAUCCGGAAUUAUUGGGCGUAAAGAGUCCGUAGGUGGGUAACCAAGUCAGCUGUUAAAUAGUGAAGCUUAACUUCAUAGAGGCGGCUGAAACUGGUUGUCUAGAGAGUGGUAGGGGUAGAGGGAAUUUCCAGUGUAGCGGUGAAAUGCGUAGAUAUUGGAAAGAACACCGGUGGCGAAAGCGCUCUACUGGGCCACUACUGACACUGAGGGACGAAAGCUAGGGGAGCGAAAGGGAUUAGAUACCCCUGUAGUCCUAGCCGUAAACGAUGGAUACUAGGCGUUGCCCGUAUCGACCCGGGCAGUGUCGUAGCCAACGCGUUAAGUAUCCCGCCUGGGGAGUACGCUCGCAAGNGUGAACUCAAAGGAAUUGACGG
rnacentral:rRNA from 1 species